ACGUUGAAACAUCGGUUCUCGUCCGAUCACUGAAAUUAAGCAACGCCGAGCAUGGUCAGUACUUGGAUGGGUGACCGCUUAGGAAUAUCAGGUGCUGUAA
rnacentral:rRNA from 1 species